rnacentral:lncRNA from 1 species
CCCAGUCAGUUAGCAGGGACAGAGCAGUGGCUGCAAAGAUGGUCAACGACAAGUAAAGGAAGGAUAAAGAGAAACCUCAAGUUCUUUAGAAAUGAGGGUUUCCUGUUCCUGAACGCACCGUAGCAGCACGGUGAACACUGUCUAUACCAGGAAAAAGCUGAAAGCCACAAGCCACCAACGACCACAGGUACCUCGCGCUUUCUAAGUCCGCGUCAGAAGGAAGCAUGCGACGCAGGGGACCUCCGCGCGUCUCCCACCUGCGGCUGACCUGCGGACCUCCUGCGGGCAGAGACAGCUCCUUGCAAAGCAAACAGCUCCCCACUCUGCAUGGAAAGGCUCAUCUACUUCCUCGGUCCACACUGCAAGCAUCAGACUCCCUGAGAGUCACUGAGAGAGUGAAUCAGACUCAGCUGAUAAGCACAGAGCUGACCUUUAAACCCCAGCCUCUAAUAGAGCACUCCGUGUUUGCUCAAGCAUUCUGGGUCAGCAGGGUCUGCAUGUACCGAGGUGGGGCAAACCCAGGAGCCCGGCUCCAGCUCUCACAUGGCCCUGACGGAACAGGGCUGGGGGCUGGGCUAGCAGAGGCCCCACACCUCCUACCCCGACUUAGAACAUGCUAUCUUGCAGAGAGAGAGGGAGAGAGAGAGGUCUUGGGAGUAUACCAGUCAGCUGACUGA